AAUAAGGUCAGUUUUUCCUUCUGAAAAAUUAUCUUUAAUGUAUGAUCAGUAAAUUGUUAAACAUGCCUAUUUAAAAAUACUUCAGAAGGUUAGAUGGUCUUGGUGUCAGGCGACUUAAGCAGCUGCUUAGCCCCUUGAACCAGGGGGAUGUUAUCUGAUAUAUAGAGUUGCCAAAUUAAAUCAAACAGCUAGCAUUUAAAAAAAAAAUACAA